UGGGGAAUAUUGCACAAUGGGCGCAAGCCUGAGGCAGCCAUGCCGCGUGUGUGAAGAAGGCCUUCGGGUUGUAAAGCACUUUCAGCGGGGAGGAAGGCGAUAAGGUUAAUAACCUUGUCGAUUGACGUUACCCGCAGAAGAAGCACCGGCUAACUCCGUGCCAGCAGCCGCGGUAAUACGGAGGGUGCAAGCGUUAAUCGGAAUUACUGGGCGUAAAGCGCACGCAGGCGGUCUGUCAAGUCGGAUGUGAAAUCCCCGGGCUCAACCUGGGAACUGCAUUCGAAACUGGCAGGCUAGAGUCUUGUAGAGGGGGGUAGAAUUCCAGGUGUAGCGGUGAAAUGCGUAGAGAUCUGGAGGAAUACCGGUGGCGAAGGCGGCCCCCUGGACGAAGACUGACGCUCAGGUGCGAAAGCGUGGGGAGCAAACAGG
rnacentral:rRNA from 1 species